CAACUGCUAAAUGGACCUUGAGUCAACAGAUGGAUGAGGUGGUGAUGGCUGCUUCCCAGGACAAAAAAACAUGCACGAUAAUAACAACUUUCAAGAGCACUCUGAAGCUGGAGGCAAACCGUGACAACACCGUCUGUAUCAGAAACGCAGGAGAAGCACAGAAACAACCUAUAAAUGUUGGUAAAGAGGCUUCACUCCAAAAGAUGGGAUCCAAGUCAAAGGUAAGAUAAAAGUACAC